GCCAGGAGUGGAGGCACACACCUGUAAUCCCAGAGGCUCAGGAGGCUGAGGCAGGAGGAUCACAAGUUCAAAGCCAGUCUCAGCAAUUUAGCACAGCUCUAAGCAACUUAAUGAGACCCUGUCUCAA
rnacentral:sRNA from 1 species